UUAAUUUUCAUGUUGUGGCUCUUUCAUUUUCAAGCUUCAAUUCUUUCUCCUACCACCUUUCUUAUUCUUCCAUGCCUGGGUCAUAGAACUAGAUUUACCUGUCCCACAAAUGUCAUUAUCAGUAUGUAUUUUAUUUUAAGCAAGUCCAUGUCCUCAGAGGAUUCCCUCGUAUCCUGCUAAGAAGAUGCCCUCUCUCACCACUCCGAUUUAACAGAGUGUUGGAAGUUCUGGCCAGAGCAAUCAAUCAGGCAGGAGAAGGAAAUAAAGGGUAUUCAAUUAGGAAAAGAGGAAGUCAAAUUGUCCCUGUUUGCAGAUGACAUGAUUUUAUAUCUAGAAAACCCCAGUGUCUCAGCCCAAAAUCUCCUUAUGUUGAUAAGCAACUUCAGCAAAGUCUCAGGAUACAAAAUAAAUGUACAAAAAUCACAAGCAUUCUUAUACACCA
rnacentral:lncRNA from 1 species